rnacentral:rRNA from 1 species
UACGGGGGGUGCAAGCGUUGUUCGGAAUCAUUGGGCGUAAAGAGCGUGUAGGCGGCUGAGCAAGUCAGAUGUGAAAUCCCUGGGCUUAACCCAGGAAGUGCAUUUGAAACUGCUCAGCUUGAGUAAGGAAGAGGGAAGUGGAAUUCCUGGUGUAGAGGUGAAAUUCGUAGAUAUCAGGAGGAACACCGGUGGCGAAGGCGACUUCCUGGUCCUAUACUGACGCUGAGACGCGAGAGCGUGGGGAGCAAACAGG